UACGUAGGGGGCGAGCGUUUAUCCGGAAUUACUGGGCGUAAAGCGCACGCAGGCGGUCUGUUAAGUUUGGAGUGACAGUUGGUGGCUUAACUGCCAAAGUGCUUCGAAAACUGACAGACUUGAGGGCUUCAGAGGGACACGGAAUUCCGGGUGGAGUGGUGAAAUGGCGUAGAGAUCCGGAGGAACACCAAAGGCGAAGGCAGUGUCCUGGGGAGUACCUGACGCUCAGGUGCGAAAGCCAGGGGAGCGAACGGG
rnacentral:rRNA from 1 species